rnacentral:rRNA from 1 species
UGGGGAAUAUUGCACAAUGGGCGCAAGCCUGAUGCAGCCAUGCCGCGUGUAUGAAGAAGGCCUUCGGGUUGUAAAGUACUUUUAGCGGGGAGGAAGGGAGUAAAGUUAAUACCUUUGCUCAUUGACGUUACCCGCAGAAGAAGCACCGGCCAACUCCGUGCCAGCAGCCGCGGCAAUACGGAGGGGGCAAGCGUUAAUCGGAAUUACUGGGCGUAAGGCGCACGCAGGGGGUUUGUUAAGUCAGAUGUGAAAUCCCCGGGCUCAACCUGGGAACUGCAUCUGAUACUGGCAGGCUUGAGUCUGGUAGAGGGGGGUAGAAUUCCAGGUGUAGCGGUGAAAUGCGUAGAGAUCUGGAGGAAUACCGGUGGCGAAGGCGGCCCCCUGGACGAAGACUGACGCUCAGGUGCGAAAGCGUGGGGAGCAAACAGG